CAGUGGGAACAGUGGAAAGGCAUAGAACAGUUGGCCUGACCACCGGAGGAGGAAUGAGUCUGAGAUCGGCCCCCUUUCUACCCCUGCCCUGGAGCAGAACUGGUGGCAGCGUCGGUUCUGGGUAGUUGCAAAGAGGUCAACCCGGGGAGCUCCCCACUCUCGGAAGAGCUGUCGGGCGAACUCCCAGUGGAGUGACCACUCAUAUUGGCAGGAAAACAGCCUGCUGAGGUGAUCGGCUUGCACAUUGCGCAUGCCAGGCCCAGACCUGCGCAUAUGGACAGCAGGAAUUGCAUCUGUGCCUGUAUUCGGGACCAGGAGUUGCCCUUGAGGAGCCAAUCAUCCAGGGAAGAUCCUGCAUCAAGGACUGGGACUCUGCAGACAGACUGGACAGGAGAAGCCAGGACACCCUAUGCAUAAAUAUAGCCGAGGCCAUAGAACGGGCUGCCGUGUUGGCUGCGUCCGAGGAGGCCUGGAGGGCUGCUUUUGCCGCUGCUGCCCUUUCCUCAACCAGAGCCUUGAACUCCUUUUUAUCCCGCUCCGGGAGAAGAGGCUCGAACUUCGGUAGAG